rnacentral:rRNA from 1 species
AACGCUAGCGAUAGGCUUAACCAUGCAAGUCGAGGGGCAUCACGAGGUAGCAAUACUUUGGUGGCGACCGGCGUACGGGUGCGUAACACGUAUGCAACCUUCCUGUAAGUGUGGGAUAGCCUCCUGAAAGGGAGAUUAAUACCUCAUGAUAUGUAUUUGCUGCAUGGCAUUUACAUUAAACAUUUAUGGCUUACAGAUGGGCAUGCGUUCCAUUAGGCAGUUGGUGUGGUAACGGCUCACCAAACCUACGAUGGAUAGGGGUUCUGAGAGGAAGGUCCCCCACACUGGAACUGAGACACGGUCCAGACUCCUACGGGAGGCAGCAGUGAGGAAUAUUGGUCAAUGGGCGCGAGCCUGAACCAGCCACGUCGCGUGAAGGAUGACGGCCUUAUGGGUUGUAAACUUCUUUUACAGGGGAAUAAAGUGAGUCACGUGUGAUUUUUUGCAUGUACCCUGUGAAUAAGCAUCGGCUAACUCCGUG